AGAGUUUGAUCCUGGCUCAGAAUCAACGCUGGCGGCGUGCCUAACACAUACAAGUCGAACGAGAAAGCGGGAGCAAUCCCGUGAGUAAAGUGGCGACCGGGUGAGUAACACGUGACUAACCUACCCUCAAGUGGGGAAUAACCUCGGGAAACCGGAGCUAAUUCCGCAUAACAUCGCGAGCUGCAAUGCUGGCGAUCAAAGGAGCAAUUCGCUGGAGGAGGGGGUCGCGGCUGAUUAGCUAGUUGGCAGGGUAACGGCCUACCAAGGCGAUGAUCAGUAGCCGGCCUGAGAGGGCGCACGGCCACACUGGAACUGAAACACGGUCCAGACUCCUACGGGAGGCAGCAGUGGGGAAUUUUGCGCAAUGGGGGAAACCCUGACGCANCAACGCCGCGUGGA
rnacentral:rRNA from 1 species